UUUCCCCGCCGAGGUGACACGAGGGCUGGCUGACUGGACAAGAGGCUGCUGCUCGAGUGGCGACCACGGGCUGUUUUUGUUCGUUUGUUUUUAACCCGAGCGAGGCAGCAGCUUGGGGUGCCAUGCAAAGGGCGGCAGAGCGGGAGGCGGUCAUAGUUGCCUCACCCGGCACAGUCCGGCGGGAGAUUAUCCCGCGCAAAUCUCAGCGAAAAAUGCGCGGCAGCUACGGAGGAGAAUUGCACGGCCCCGGUUGAGCUCUUCUUGCUCAGCAGCCCGUCGGAAAACGCGGCGGGUGGAAAAAUCAAUCUACUCCAAGAAGGAAUUGCUUUGCUGCCCGAGCCCGGCAACCAGGAGGGCAAGGCCAGUGAUCUAUGCACAUGUCACAACAGGCAUCUUAAAAGAGCCAUUUCUUCCUUUGGAUGAGAAAAGGGGAGCUGCUUUUGAGAAGAGCCUGCUACUGUGGUUUUUGUGAAGAAUGGAUUACAAAAGUUAUAAAAUACCUAACUACUACAACAAAAACAUCUGCUGUGCUAGGUCAGACUAAAAAGCACAUUUGCUGUCUGUAACAAUAGCAAACCAGAUGCCCUGGGAAUACUCACUAACAGGGCAAAAAGCACUCAUUGCCUGUGGUUUGUCCUCAGCUUAAAUACAUAGGAAUUGCUAUGCUGGCUUACACCAAAGGACCCUCCAACUCUGCAUUGUGCUUAGCCAAUGAAAUUACUUCUGGUAUAUACAGAACCGGCAUCCACACAAACGAUUUUGGAGCAGCAGUCACAUGCAGCCAUGAAUAAGAGUAGUCAAUGGGCACUGAAAGAUGGAGAAGGGUUGAAGCUGAAUAAGCACCAUGGAGAGAGGCAGUCACCUGCUCAGGACAUUGAAGCUCCACUUCUUGUGCACUGAAUGCAUUGUCCAGUCUAUACGUUUAAGGCAGCAUUGGACAAAGCUACCCGACCAUUCUCAAAACGUUUCUCUCCAGCCACAAGGGCUGGACAUGCAAUCCUUUGAGAUCUUAGUCAAAUGUAUAGGGACAGCAGGGCUCUUUUCAAAUACAUCUCAUUGGUCUGCACUCAGUAAAACAGAGGAGAAAACAGCCAUUUUUUAAAAUGUGGGCUACAGGUGCCCCUUAUAUAGAAUCAUAGACAUAUAGGAGUCAACUCCUAGGGACUGAGGUUCCUUCAACCACAAUAAAAUAUUUGAGGGGGCUGCCCCCCAAGGUGAUGGGCAUUGCCAUUCAAAUACUGUGCCGCAUCUUGCGAUCGAUUGUGCAGGGCGGAGAUUACCUCUCCCCCCCCCAUAUUUUAUUCAAGCUGGCACCCCUGAUCAUAGAAUUGUAGAGCUAGGCAUGUUACAGCUGCAUCAUGGGAGCAGUUUUGGGGGGUUAAGUCCAUGCUGCUACUGUAACUUUUACAGGCCCAGCAGUAUGGGGGUCCAUUUCUCCCUCUGUUCUUAGCCAAGUGACAAUAGGGUGGGAAGAACCUAUGCAGCUGGCCUUUUGCAGAAGACACUGGGCCUUUAAAUAUUAAGGCAAAAAUGUGGGGCGAUACCACAAACAAGCAGCUCCUAUGCUGCUGUGUUAACAAGGGGCACCAUACAGAUGUAAGUCAAAGCAAAGGGAAACAGAGAUACAUACCGGUAUAUCACAAUGGAACAGCAUGGGAAAAUACCACAGUAUCUGAACAGAUAAUAAAUACUCCGUCACCACAGAAAUAGAAUUAGGGCUAAAAGCGGCUUAUACUAACUCAUUCUGAUUGUCAUGUACAAAAGAAAACUUAAGUCUGUAGGGAUAAUAAAUCUACCUUUUGUGAU